GAUGAACGCUGGCGGCGUGCCUAAUACAUGCAAGUCGAGCGAACAGACGAUGAGCUUGCUCCUCUGACGUUAGCGGCGGACGGGUGAGUAAAACGUGGAUAACCUACCUAUAAGACUGGGAUAACUUCGGGAAACCGGAGCUAAUACCGGAUAAUAUAUUGAACCGCAUGGUUCAAUAGUGAAAGACGGUUUUGCUGUCACUUAUAGAUGGAUCCGCGCCGCAUUAGCUAGUUGGUAAGGUAACGGCUUACCAAGGCAACGAUGCGUAGCCGACCUGAGAGGGUGAUCGGCCACACUGGAACUGAGACACGGUCCAGACUCCUACGGGAGGCAGCAGUAGGGAAUCUUCCGCAAUGGGCGAAAGCCUGACGGAGCAACGUCGCGUGAGUGAUGAAGGUCUUCGGAUCGUAAAACUCUGUUAUUAGGGAAGAACAAAUGUGUAAGUAACUAUGCACGUCUUGACGGUACCUAAUCAGAAAGCCACGGCUAACUACGUG
rnacentral:rRNA from 1 species